AUGCAGUACGAGCAAAAGUCAAAACACCUCUGGUUUCCUGCCAGGUACUCUGCCAGAAAUCACAAACUUGUUGAUGCCAGUGAGUAUCCAAUCAUACACAAGCGCACAGAAAUCAAAACCACUUGUGCGCUUUGGAUUAACAAGCAAGGUCAAAAACUCAAUGUGAAUCUGAUCGCUGGAAGAUGGAAAAAGGAAGCACGACAUUGCGAUCACCAUGAAGCAUAUGAAAGUGCCUUCCUCGCUGUGAAAAUCAGAAGAUAUGAGCAUGUCUCCAAAGAAAGUAAUGUUUGGCAUUUCUGUCAAGCUGAACCGAGACAAAAUGAAGUUCCUCCCACUAUCCUUGUCUUGUGUCGCUAA
rnacentral:rRNA from 1 species